GUCUCCUUGGAAUUAUAUAAUAAAUAUAAGGAGUCGAACCUGCCCGGUGACUAUAUUGUUAAACGGCCGCGGUACCCUAACCGUGCAAAGGUAGCAUAAUCAUUUGCCUUUUAAUUGGAGGCUAGUAUGAAUGGUUUGACGAGAGCUAUGCUGUCUCUUUUGAAAUAUUUAAAAAUUAACUUUUAGGUGAAGAGGCCUAAAUUUAUUUAAGGGACAAGAAGACCCUGUUGAGCUUUAGUGAAACUUGUGAGUAUAUUAUCAGCGGCGUAGUUCAAUGCUGGUUGUUAUGUAUUUAUAUAUAAUAAGAGCUCGCGGUUAAUCUUUAGUUGGGGCGACUAAGGAACAAAAAAAGCUUCCUUUAAAUUAAAUACUUUAUUUUAAGUAAAAUGAGAAAAUUUUAAUGCUUUUGUGUUAUUUAGAUCCAAUUUAUUUUGAUUAAAGGAAAAAGUUACCACAGGGAUAACAGCGUAAUCUUUCUGGAGAGAUCUUAUCGAAAGAAGGGUUUGCGACCUCGAUGUUGGACUAAGAUAUCCUAAGGGUGCAGAAGCUCUUAAAGGUUGGUCUGUUCGACCAUUAAAAUCUU
rnacentral:rRNA from 1 species